CAUCAUUGCAGCAGGUGGGAGCCAGAUAAUUCAUAUCUUCUUCAGUGCCACCGUGGUUGGGAGGUUUCUGGAAGAAUUCCAGUUCAGCGUGGCUGGAUCUCCUAUGUCUGCAAUCCUGGCUGUCAGGGGCUGUGUCACCGGACUGCGUUCACGCUUUGAGGUCAAUGAGCUCGACUGUGGGGACAUCUCCCCUGGCUCUACCUACACUGUGACCUCUUCCCGCAGUAACACCUCCCCGGUGUCUCGUGCCAGCCUUUGGGGAGAAGCCCACUCCCCAAAUCUCCAAAUCCAGCCCAGCACCCUGGAGUUUGGCUGCCUGGUGGGUGGCACUGCAGAAGAAAAGUGUUCUCUGGAGAUGGCCAAGUGCAGCUCCCUCCCUAUCCAGCACCACUGGUCAAUCUGUUCCAGCAGCCAGGAGAACAGCUUGAAGUAUGUGCACUAUUGCCCUGUCCUCAAAGCUCUUCUUGCUGAUGUGUCAGGAAGGAUGAAAGUUUGUCAAGAAAGUCUCACAGAUAUGAAUGCUUAG